CCUGUUCGAGCGUCAUUACAACCCUCAAGCUUUGCUUGGUAUUGGACGUCACUGACUCAGUGCGCCCUAAAAUCAGUGGCGGUGCAUCUGGCUUCUAGUGUAGUAAUACUUCUUGCUAUGGAGUUCUCGAUGUGUGCUUGCCAAUAACCCAUAUUCUACAGGUUGACCUCGGAUCAGGUAGGGAUACCCGCUGAACUUAA
rnacentral:misc_RNA from 1 species